rnacentral:lncRNA from 9 species
CUUGGCUGUAUUCCAACAAAACUUUAUAUACAAAAACAAGCAGAGGCUGAAGCUGGCCUGGGGCCUAGCUUAAUGACCCCCUAUUCCAUACUCAGGGGUCAUCGGCAAGCCUCAUGAGCAGUAGUUUAGGUUGGCCAUGAAUGCUGUGCCAGGACAGGGACAAUGCAUAGGGCCCAUGUCCAAAAGCACGUCACUUGAGCCAGAGCGAACAAACAGUCUAAGGUGAUGGAUUUUCCCACCCUCCACCCGCAUCCACUGAACAACCCUAAUCAUUUCCACCACCAUGGUAGUUAGGUCCUAUCCUAAGCUGGUGUCCUUCCUCCUCCUUCUUCCCAUUUCACUUUGUUCUUAAUCGCCCCAUAUUGACUGUGUUUAAUACUGUAAUCCUGAGGGUUUUCCCACUGGCUCAAAGCAGAACUGGUAAAACCGAGGUCCCUGUUACUAAGUGCUCAGAAUUCAUUUCAGAAACCAAAAGGGUGCUCUUCACCCAUGAUACAUGGAACUCAAGGACGGAUUUUCUCUAUCCUAACAGGCUCUUUUCAGUGAUGGCCCUUGACAUUUUCUUAGCUGCUCAGCCUGCCUACAGUCUUCAGAAAGAUGUAGUCAUUGCCUCAGCCCACUCAGCAAACAUUUAUUGAAAGCUUGCUGCAUGUGCCAGGAAUUGUUCUAGACACUGGCUGUGUGGAGGUGGACCUGUCGGGAAGACCCUAUCCUCCUGGGGUGUACGCUAGGCUUCUGCUGCCUCUCCUAACUUCCGAGACAGUCCUCAAUGGAACAGCACAGACUUUAUUUUCUUCUAAACUCUUAAUGCGUGUUAGCACCCAGACAUCUAGCCACAAGCAGAGGUAAAGAGUUCUAUUUCAUUCAAGCUCUGUUGAUUCUUCAUACUCUUUAUUUUUUCAUUUUAAAUCAGUAUAUUCUUUUUUUUAAUUACUCAAAUGAAUUUAUCACAUCUGUAGUUGUGUAAUGAUCAUAACAAUCCAAUUUCACAGGAUUUCCCAUUCUUCUUGUGCACCUUCCAGCUUCUAUACCCCCAGGAAGUACCCUUAAAAUGCACAUAAUAUUGUAAACCUUUGAGAAAUUGAAGCAAAGCUCUUUUUCCCAUUUAACACCCUAAUGCGAAUUCAAAAGGAGGUUCAUCCAGCUGAGGAAUGCCAAGUGCAGACAACUUGGAAGUAUUUUUGGAGGUUAGAUUUCUACUACACCAAGAUGCCUCAUCAUUUUGAAAAUACAAGGUGACUUAAGGAUCUUUUAAGAAAAAUGAGGAAAACCUGGGAAGCUGGUUGAAGUGAUACCUUGAAGUCGAGAAGUAUCAUGCACAGGGGGCCCCCUAAUACUUCUGCAGAACCCCCAGGUUGACAGGAAGCCAGCUUAGUGUGGUGCUAAGGCAAAAACCAAAAAGACCUACCCUUAUGUCUUCUUUUCCUAUUUAAGGCUUUGACAGAAAGAGAAAAUGGAAUGCCACCACAUGUAAUCUGGAGAUUCAUCCUAAUGGAAUUGGCUGGAGUCUUGGAAACACACUAUAAAGCUUGCCAGCUCCAGGACCUGGUGUAAAUCUGCAAUAGCUAUUAUAAUACUAUUGGGACCAGAGCACCCAUAAGUCAAUUACAACGAUCUAAGUCCUUGAGAUUAACCAUAUCACUUGCUUGUGACUUCAGGCAUUAAAAGAAAGAUGAGAUGAACACGUGAAAUGAACCAAGCAAAGGUAUCUUCUGGAGACACAUCUACUCUCCAAGAAAGGCCAAAAGUUUUCCUUAAUCAACUGUAAUAAAUUUCAGAGAAUGAUACUGAAAUAAAG